CCAAUCCCUGCGGGGUGGGGAGCACAGGGAAUUGGUUGGCACCAGAAUUUGGAAAUUUGGCAAUUUGGCAAGAGCAACUGACAGGCACCCCUUCCCACGCUCCUCUCUCCUGGAUGGAACCAUGGAGGGGUCACUGAGAAGCCACAGGGAAAUGGUGUCUGAGAACCUCUGAGAAUUCAAAAGCUUCCCAGCCUGAAAACACCCAGGGCUGCCCCAGCUCCUGAUGCUGUCUGCUUUGCCACAAGGAGACCUUCCAGGCACACCUGUGCAGGUGUGGGACCCUCACAGAACCCUGAGGAAUUUCAUCAGGAAGGCACCUCAGCAUCCCAGGAAGCCCAUGGCCACCAGGAGGGGAGCUGAGGGGAGGAUGGAGCCAGAGCCAACCUUGUAACUCCAAAUGCAAAUCCCUGCUCCUCAGAAAUCCCCCCCUGCCCAGUUCCCAGGCAGAGGGAGCAUCCCUGCCCUUCCCACCUGUGUUUCCUGACGUGGGUUCAAUCAGGGUGUCUCCUGGUUUGAUAAUCCCAGCUCUCUCAGCAUCCUCCACCAUCCUGAGGCUGAUGCGGUCCUUCACGCUGCCCCCCGCGUUGAAGUACUCACAUUUUGCCACUGGAAAGGGAAACAAAGAGGAGACUCCAUCAGGCACCAGCUCCCCCAGGCCUCACUGCAGUGUGAGGACACUUCUUCCUCCCCCUACAGGACUGUCCUUUGCUCAGGGGAAUGCAUCCACCACCUGCUUGUCUGGGAUUAUUCAUCAGCACAAAGUCCUUCUUUCCCCCAUGUUUCCUUCACCCUGGAUGGGUUUGAAGUCAACCUGGACAGCCCAGGAUGGGUUUAAAAUCAGCUGGACACGGUCACUGCAAGGUCCCACACUGGCACAACACUCCUUGAGGACUCUCCUGUGGGCAAGGGUUAGCAGCAAGGUCUCACUGUCUAUCCUGGGACAUUGAGGUUUUUAACAGAUAUCUAAAAAGCUCCCCUCUUGCAGGGGUGAUCUGUAGUCCUGACUGAGGUGCCAUAAAAAAUCCCAAACAGUAGAAAGAACAUUUUCAAGUGUCAGGCCAAAUUACAGUUUUUUUCACUGAGCUAGCAACAAGCCAAGUAACUUUCCAAGGCACAUCUCAGUCCUCACUGGGGCCUCCACCACAGCAUUCUUCUUACCAAGCCUUUGAUGAACAUCUGCAGCUGAGCUGGUGCUACUGAGCUCUGUUUUAUGGACAACAGGGAGAAAUGGGGAUUUCCAGGGGUGUUUUUCACUUCACCCUGGCAGAGACAGUGACCUGAGGCUGAGAAAUCAGCCCUGUACCUGGGCAGCCUGAAUGGGAAAGGAAAUGUUGUGCUCAUCAUUACAUUUUAUAAUGCAAAGUGCCACAACUCCAGCUGCACCGGGGUCCUGGGGGCACUGGAAACACCAGGCAAUCCCAUCCAGCUGUAGCUGCUUCCUCUCAUUCCUGUGUUUGCUGGGAAGGGGCUCUGUGCUGACACAGGACCGUGGAGCUGCUCUGCUCUCUGUUCUGCUCUCCUUCCCCUCCUGUGCCAGGGGAGGGAGACACCAUCCCAGAAAAUGGGAUCUGCCUGGCAUUCCCAGCACCAAAAGCACCAGCCAGACAUCCUCCAAGGGACAGGCUGCUCCAGAGGUGCACCAGGCACUGCACAUCUGUCCUCCCACCUCCAGCAGCUCCCUCCAUGGUCUCCUGGUGUCCCCUCAGCUCUCACUGUGAGCAGGGUGAGGCAGUGCAGUGUGGAAAAGCAAGCCAUGAAUAAAAGCUGGAAUCUUAGGGGAAAACCAUCCUUGGUUUCCAGUGUGGAGGCUGCAGGGCUGGUGGCCCAAGGACCCCAGAUGCUGAGAAGAGAUCAGGUGGGAAAGCCCAGGGUGCUCCCUGUAUCUGUGUGCUCAGUGGGGACUGGCUGCCCUUAUAGUUAUUCAUAGUUAUUUAACUGAAUCAUAGUUAUUUAAUAAAUAACUAUGGGGUUCCCAGGUGCCACACAGCACUGCAGGGCUCUGCUGUGCCAUUGCAUUAAGGAUGAGUGCUCAGCAAGUCUCUCUUUACUCAGCUCUGUGACACUUGUGGCACUUUCUGCCUCUCAGAAUCUGCCUUUCUGCUCAAUUCAGAUCAAAUUAAUUAUCAGGGUUAGGAGUUAUAGGAAAGGAGACUGAAAAGUCCACAUGCACAGAUCUGAGUUUAUCAUCCUUGUAAUUGUAGGGGACCAGCCUAAAGUCAAGCCUUACAUGACACAGCACCAGCAAACAUCUCCUUAGGGAGAGGACUAAGAUCCAUCCCCAAAUUUGGGCCAGCUCUGCUCUGAGCUUAUGCUGCUGUUAUCUGGCAGGAGAGAUGCCUCACUACCACUGCCCCCCUGCUCAUUGCUGCUUGAAACCUCCUGCUAGGCCCAAGAAAUUACUGCCUAAUAAGCAGGAGAGCCUAACAUGAGCCACAUCUGCCCCUCCCCAUCUCUGUUCCUCUCACAGAGCCUCUUCUGAAGCCCCCCCUCCAGCAGCACCCCUCACCCUCACCUCGUGGCAUGCAAAAACCUGCUGGGAAGGGGACACUCACAGAGGUCACACUUGAGCCCAUAGGACUUCCCAAUCUUGUUGAUUUGGACCAUUGGGGUGUGGCCAAUUUUCUUGAGGAUAUUGGGCAAGAUCUUCUUUUCUUCUGUCCUGAAAUAAUGCAGGGGAAAAAAAAAAAGUCAAAUCAAAACUAUUGUUGUGCAACAUGAACAAAGAGAAAAUCUGAGUGAGGUUUCAGCAACUUUAUCAAGGCCACCAAAACACACCCCAACUCCAAGAGAAAAA